rnacentral:tRNA from 1 species
GGAGAGUUGGCUGAGUGGUUUAAGGCGCUCGCUUGGAAAGCGAGUGAAGGUUUAUCCCUUCCGUGAGUUCGAAUCUCAUGCUCUCCG